AGGCUGAGGCGGGCACCCACACCAAGCGGCCGACCCACGAAGGCGGCCAUGCAGCUCCGCCUCGUGCCUCUCUCCCCAUCUCUAUGUUCGUGUCAAACCCAGCGCAAGGUAGAGGCAGAAGAGGAGGCCGGGAAGAGAAGCUGCAAGAGAAAGUUGUUGAAGUGGAAGAAGGUGAACCUGUAGAAGAGCUGAAAAAAGGACGUGGUAGAGACAAGGAAGCAAAGCCUAAACAGUAUAAUGAUUACUACCUCGCCCAGCCGCGCAUCCAAGACGCGGCGCUUGCUGGAAAGCUGGUCAAGUAGGUCCUCGACUGCGAGAUUUAGCUGAUUGAUCCUGUGCAUUAGCCUAAUUGUUACAAUAAACGGACUUACAACAAUGAUGCUUUCUAUAUUGAAUUCUUAUAUUCGACCUCACCAUUGCUUAGUUUCCUUUCCUGAUGUCAAGACACAAAGAAUUUGAGAUUCAAUUUAUCUUUUUUAGUUUUCACACUAGAGUGCUUCAUUUAUAUGUAUUACUGUAGACACAUGGGAAUCCUCAAGGUGUCAGGCUUGUUCUUAUUAUUGCUCAUGCAACC